CACGUAGGGUGCGAGCGUUGUCCGGAAUUAUUGGGCGUAAAGAGCUCGUAGGCGGUGUGUCGCGUCGGCCGUGAAAACCUGCAGCUUAACUGUGGGCUUGCGGUCGAUACGGGCAGGCUAGAGUUCGGUAGGGGAGACUGGAAUUCCUGGUGUAGCGGUGAAAUGCGCAGAUAUCAGGAGAACACCGGUGGCGAAGGCGGUUCUCUGGGCAUUACCUGACGCUGAGGAGCGAAAGUGUGGGGAGCGAACAGGA
rnacentral:rRNA from 1 species